AGGAUUAACGCUGGCGGCGUGCCUAACACAUGCAAGUCGAACGAGGUAGCAAUACCUAGUGGCAGACGGGUGAGUAACGCGUGGUCAACCUACCGUUGAGUGGGGGAUAACUAGCCGAAAGGUUAGCUAAUACCGCAUACGAGUCUCGGGGGCAUCCCUGGGCCUUAAAAGGAGCAAUCCGCUCGAUGACGGGACCGCGUCCCAUUAGCUAGAUGGUGGGGUAAUGGCCUACCAUGGCUCCGAUGGGUAGCUGGUUUGAGAGAGCGACCAGCCACACUGGGACUGAGAAACGGCCCAGACUCCUACGGGAGGCAGCAGUGAGGAAUUUUCCGCAAUGGGCGAAAGCCUGACGGAGCGACGCCGCGUGUGGGAAGAAGGCCUUCGGGUCGUAAACCACUGUCGAAGGGACGAUAAUGACGGUACCCGUUGGAGGAGCCCCGGCUAACUACGUGCCAGCAGCCGC
rnacentral:rRNA from 1 species